GAUAUCUCGUGCAGAAAUUCUAUUGAAUGAAACGCUCUCAUAUCUUUUCCGGACAGCAGUUGUACAAAAACAAAAACAAAGCUAGCGCUGAUCGUUUCAUAGGCCCACCAACAUGUACUAUGAAUAUGAUUAUCACAUAUAUACAUUAGACAAGUACAUAUAAGCAUUAGCGUCAAGGUAUAUUUAAGUCUCUCUUGGUCAAACUUGAUACUGCUAAAAUAUCCUUUAUUUCGGUACAGAUAGAAUAAUUCAUGGACUGCAGUCGUUUUACGAGAACGGACACAAUUAUACUCGGUGGCGGACUCUAUAUAUUUAAUUGUGUUCCAAAUGUAUUCUCAAAACCAGUUUGCAAAACUACAGGACGACAAUGAUAUCUAAUCGCAGUUUAAUCAAAGUUCUCCGGAAAGUGAUGGUAUACGUAUGGAACUCAAACUGCGAGGUCGAGAAGAUAAA